rnacentral:rRNA from 4 species
UAACGACUCUCGGCAACGGAUAUCUCGGCUCUCGCAUCGAUGAAGAACGUAGCGAAAUGCGAUACGUGGUGUGAAUUGCAGGAUCCCGUGAACCAUCGAGUUUUUGAACGCAAGUUGCGCCCGAAGCCAUCAGGCCGAGGGCACGUCUGCCUGGGCGUCACGC